UGGGGAAUUUUGGACAAUGGGGGAAACCCUGAUCCAGCCAUCCCGCGUGUGCGAUGAAGGCCUUCGGGUUGUAAAGCACUUUUGGCAGGAAAGAAACGUCGCGGGUUAAUACCCCGCGAAACUGACGGUACCUGCAGAAUAAGCACCGGCUAACUACGUGCCAGCAGCCGCGGUAAUACGUAGGGUGCAAGCGUUAAUCGGAAUUACUGGGCGUAAAGCGUGCGCAGGCGGUUCGGAAAGAAAGAUGUGAAAUCCCAGAGCUUAACUUUGGAACUGCAUUUUUAACUACCGGGCUAGAGUGUGUCAGAGGGAGGCGGAAUUCCGCGUGUAGCAGUGAAAUGCGUAGAUAUGCGGAGGAACACCGAUGGCGAAGGCAGCCUCCUGGGAUAACACUGACGCUCAUGCACGAAAGCGUGGGGAGCAAACAGGAUUAGAUACCCUGGUAGUCCACGCCCUAAACGAUGUCAACUAGCUGUUGGGGCCUUCGGGCCUUGGUAGCGCAGCUAACGCGUGAAGUUGACCGCCUGGGGAGUACGGUCGCAAGAUUAAAACUCAAAUGAAUUGACGGGGUCGAUAC
rnacentral:rRNA from 1 species